CAUAACGGUCAAAGCGGAGGUGUAACAUCCGAUCCCAUCCCGAUCUCGGAAAUUAAGCCCUCCAGCGAUUCUUUAAGUACUGCUAUCUAGUGGGAACAAAGUGACGCCGUUAGUC
rnacentral:rRNA from 14 species